AAGCAGCACACAGGACCUGACAGUCAGGGGCUGCCCUGUAUUUCUCAGCAGGGAGAGGUUAAAGACAUAAUGGUUUAACUCAUGGAUUAUGGGCUGAUCUUCUUUGUACUUACAGGAGUACUGCUCAGUGUUGCGGCUGCCCAGUCACGUCAGUACUACUUCGUGGGUACACCACUGAACUGGAAAGGUGCGCAGAGCUUCUGCAGAGAGUCCUACAUUGACUUGGCCACCAUAGAAAACUCAGCUGACAUCGCAGCUGUUGCCAGCACCACACUGAA